UACGUAGGCAGCAAGCGUUGUUCGGAGUUACUGGGCGUAAAGGGUGCGUAGGCGGCUUUUUAAGUCUGGUGUGAAAUCUCCCGGCUCAACUGGGAGGGUGCGCCGGAUACUGAGGGGCUAGAGUGUGGGAGAGGAAAGUGGAAUUCCUGGUGUAGCGGUGAAAUGCGUAGAUAUCAGGAGGAACACCUGCGGUGUAGACGGCUUUCUGGACCAUUGUUGACGCUGAGACACGAAAGCGUGGGUAGCAAACAGG
rnacentral:rRNA from 1 species